AUGGCUGAUGGCCUGCUCCUGCACGGGCGCCGGCUCUUCGUGCCGGAUCACGGCGACCUCCGUCACCAGGCCCUGCUGCUGGCCCAUUCGGCCGGUCACGAGGGCGUGCAGAAGACCCUCCACCGUCUCCGAGCAGAUUUCUACAUCCCCGGCGACCGGGCGCUGGUGCGAGACUGGGUGCGGUCUUGCAUGACGUGCCAGCGCAACAAGACGGAGACACUGCGGCCGGCGGGGCUGCUACAGCCCCUUGAGGUGCCCUCUCAGGUCUGGGCCGAUAUUUCCAUGGACUUCAUCGAAGGCCUCCCCAAGGUGGGCGGCAAGUCCAUCAUCCUUACGGUGGUCGACCGCUUCUCCAAGUAUGCACACUUCAUUGCGCUCGGCCAUCCCUACACCGCCGCCUCCGUGGCUCGUGCCUUCUUCGACGGCAUCGUCCGCCUCCACGGGUUCCCCUCUACGAUCGUCAGCGACCGUGACCCGGUGUUCACUGGUCAUGUCUGGCGCGAUCUCUUCCAGAUGGCGGGUGUGAAACUACGCCUGAGUACGGCCUUCCACCCCCAGACGGACGGACAAUCUGAGGUGGUCAACAAGGUGAUUGCUAUGUAUUUGCGUUGUGUUCCAGGUGAUCGUGUGCUUUACUAA
rnacentral:rRNA from 1 species